UACGUAGGGUGCGAGCGUUGUCCGGAAUUAUUGGGCGUAAAGAGCUCGUAGGCGGUGUGUCGCGUCGGCCGUGAAAACCUGGAGCUUAACUGUGGGCGUGCGGUCGAUACGGGCAUCACUGGAGUUCGGCAGGGGAGACUGGAAUUCCUGGUGUAGCGGUGAAAUGCGCAGAUAUCAGGAGGAACACCGGUGGCGAAGGCGGGUCUCUGGGCCGAUACUGACGCUGAGGAGCGAAAGCGUGGGGAGCGAACAGG
rnacentral:rRNA from 1 species